GAUGAACGCUGGCGGCGUACCUAACACAUGCAAGUCGAGCGAUUUACUUCGGUAAAGAGCGGCGGACGGGUGAGUAACGCGUGGGUAACCUGCCCUGUACACACGGAUAACAUACCGAAAGGUAUGCUAAUACGAGAUAAUAUGCUUUUAUCGCAUGGUAGAAGUAUCAAAGCUUUUGCGGUACAGGAUGGACCCGCGUCUGAUUAGCUAGUUGGUGAGGUAACGGCUCACCAAGGCGACGAUCAGUAGCCGACCUGAGAGGGUGAUCGGCCACAUUGGAACUGAGACACGGUCCAAACUCCUACGGGAGGCAGCAGUGGGGAAUAUUGCACAAUGGGCGAAAGCCUGAUGCAGCAACGCCGCGUGAGCGAUGAAGGCCUUCGGGUCGUAAAGCUCUGUCCUCAAGGAAGAUAAUGACGGUACUUGAGGAGGAAGCCCCGGCUAACUACGUG
rnacentral:rRNA from 1 species